rnacentral:rRNA from 1 species
CUACGGGGGGCACCAGUCGAGAAGCUUCGGCAAUGGACGAAAGUCUGACCGAGCGACGCCGCGUGAGCGAUGAAGGCCCCAGUGGUCGUAAAGCUCUGUCAGGAGGGAAUAAAUACCUGCGGCGAAUAACCGCAGGGGCUGAAGGUACCUCCAGAGGAAGCGCCGGCUAACUACGUGCCAGCAGCCGCGGUAAUACGUAGGGCGCAAACGUUGUUCGGAUUUACUGGGUAUAAAGGGUUCGUAGGCGGGCUGGUAAGUCAGAGGUGAAAGCCAACGGCUCAACCGUUGAAUUGCCUCUGAUACUGUCAGCCUUGAGUCCGUUAGGGGAUGGUGGAAUUCCUGGUGUAGCGGUGAAAUGCGUAAAUAUCAGGAGGAACACCGGUGGCGAAGGCGGCCAUCUGGGACGGUACUGACGCUGAGGAACGAAAGCAUGGGUAUCAAACGGGAUUAGAUACCCCUGUAGUC